rnacentral:rRNA from 1 species
GGCGGCGUGCCUAACACAUGCAAGUCGAGCGGAGACAGUGAGUAGCUUGCUAUGAGCUGUUUUAGCGGCGGACGGGUGAGUAACGCGUGAGGAACCUGCCUUUCAGAGGGGGACAACAGUUGGAAACGACUGCUAAUACCGCAUAACAUAUAGAUGUCGCAUGGCAUUUAUAUCAAAGAUUUAUCGCUGAAAGAUGGCCUCGCGUCUGAUUAGCUAGUUGGUGAGGUAACGGCCCACCAAGGCGACGAUCAGUAGCCGGACUGAGAGGUUGAACGGCCACAUUGGGACUGAGAUACGGCCCAGACUCCUACGGGAGGCAGCAGUGGGGAAUAUUGGGCAAUGGGCGCAAGCCUGACCCAGCAACGCCGCGUGAAGGAAGAAGGCUUUCGGGUUGUAAACUUCUUUUGUCAGGGACGAGUAGAAGACGGUACCUGACGAAUAAGCCACGGCUAACUACGUG